rnacentral:rRNA from 1 species
AAGACGUAGGAUCCGAGCGUUGUCCGGAGUUACUGGGCGUAAAGGGCGCGCAGGCGGACACGCGCAUCGGCGGUGAAAGCCCCCCGCUCAACGGGGGAGGGUCCGUCGAGAUGGCGUGUCUGGAGGCAGGGAGAGGCCAGUGGAAUUCCGGGUGUAGUGGUGAAAUGCGUAGAGAUCCGGAGGAACACCAGUGGCGAAGGCGGCUGGCUGGACCUGACCUGACGCUGAGGCGCGAAGGCGUGGGGAGCGAACGG